GCCUCAAGUGGGCGGACUAUUCUGACUUCCGGAUUGGUUUAUUGCGUUGAUGAAGAAGGGCGAUUAGGAUAUUGGUAGUAUGGGGAUGGACAGCUUGUCAUGCCCCUUUUAAAUGCACUUACGUUUGUAGUCUUUGGAAUGCGGUUCUCAUUCCAGAAUCUAGAUAUAAAUAUGAUUAAAUUUUUAUUUCCAGAAAAAAAAAUGUUAUUAAGAUUACUCGAAAACUACAAUUUAUAUAUAGGGGAAUGAUAUCAUAGUCCCUAAAUUUUGUCUUGUAUGCAAUGUCGGAUUUAAAAAGUCUAAUUCAUUUAAUGUGGUCGUUGAACUAUUCCUUGAUGUUCAGUAUAGUAAUUUGGGCAACCGACACUAUGUUAUUCAUCAAGCUAUUUUGCAUCUCAUGGAUAACCCUUGAGUUAAUUUUGCAUGAUUUGUGGAAUUCCAUAUGACUAUCCUUGGUCACUGUUCCUGUCAUCUACAAGCAUGUCUUGAGUUUUCAUUUUGGUUCUUUGUUCUUCUGUGCAGUAUGUUUUGCUGCUGUUACCUUAGUUUGCAAGUUGUAGUGGGGAUUCAGUACCACGAGCUUUUCUUCUCUGAAGUUUUAGAUAUACAUUUUGCUUAGGGAGACAUGACAGUGGACUAUAUCUCUAGUAUGUAUCCUAAUUAAGCAGUUAACUUCUCUGCUGCCUUCUUAUCCUUACAAGCUGAAAGAUCGUUAUCUAAUUGUCAAAGAUAAAGCAUAAGGAAUCAUAAGCCAUGGCAGCAGACUAAUUAUUAUCCAUAUCUUUUCUAAUCAGUUGCUUUACUAUUGAAUAUGUGCAUUGGGUGCAUGCAUAGUCUCCUCCCUCACCUCCUUCUAAGCAAACUGUUUUAAGUAUAUUUAAUUUUUCCAAUAUUGUCUCGUACAGAAGUUGUCAUUGCUUCAGUCUAGUUGGCAGCUCCUCUCUGGCUACAGAUUUGAGUUCUUAUCGUCUAAAAGUUGUGGCAAAUACAAUAAUGCUAGCAUUUAUUAGACCUCUACGAACACAAAGUUGCGUGGAUAUUAAGCUCAUCUCGUCACAGCUCUUAGGCUGAUGACAACAAUGGGCUUAUCAAUCGGGUCUUUGUGAUUUCAUAAUGCUGCGCCUUUGAUUAUUGAUGAACCAUCUUGGCCUUUUGACAAGCCUAGAGAUUGACAACCUUCAAAUCUUCCAUUUGUCAUGUUUUUUCAUUACCUUUAAAUCUUGAUGAGAACCUUUUGUCAUAUAUUACUCGGCAGUGUUUGCAGAGUCUGUUUCAAUUAUUUGACACGGCAAACUAGGUGUACCUCUCAGUUUCUCCUAUCAAAAAAGUAUUUUUGGGCAUAUGACCAAGUUUUAUUCGUAGAACAUCAAGACUUCUUAAAUACGUGACAUUCCAUUUUGUUGUAGGUUGGGGAAGAGAGCUUUUCGAUUGAGCUGGAUGAGAACAAUCAAGUGUGGUAUGAAAUACUCUCUUUCUCAAAGCCUGCCCACUUUCUGUCUUUCAUUUCAUUGGUUACCCAUACGUACAACUCAAGCAAAAGUACUUUGCUCAUCAAUUUAGUAAUGCUGUCUGGAAACAUUAAGGAGCUUCUUAGCUACUUGUACUUAAUGCUGCAAACUGUAUACAAGUGUAGCAUGAUUAUGUCCUCAUGACAACUUUUUGCUAAAUCUGCAAUAUGUUAUGAUGAUAUUGAUUUUUGAUACUAGUGUACGUCUUCUUCUGUGCAAACAUAGUAUGUAAGCUGAUUGAAUGACGUGAGUUGGAAUGCCAACUAUUUGAUGGCUUAAAUUUGCCUUUACAACUACAAGUUUCUAUACAUGAGGUUCAGAUAUUAUGUAACAUCUAUCACACUUGAAGAGGGACACCAAUCUAGACUCUAAAGUAAUAGUAGCUUCACUUUUAUGCAUAAACUAAGUCUAUUAUGUUGAAAUACAACAUACCGUGUUAACAUUGUCAUCAAAUAAAUUUUGAAUCAAGUAUAGUUGGGAUAUAAGUUAUGAUGAGCAAAAUGGUAUGCAUUAAAGACAUUUUAGUUGGUCAACUUAUCACUCUGUUUGACUUUGACCACUCAACUCUAAUGCUGACUUUUGUUUCCACUACAUAUGAACUCUAAUGUUGGACGGCAUUCCGAGACGAUCGACUAUUGUCAGUUGCGCUGCAUCGAGUAGUUUUGUUUUGUUUUUUCUUUUUGGGGGCGAGGGGUUGGUUCCAUAGGCUCUUAUUAAUGCUUGCUUGUUGUCUAUUUCAUUUCAAAAACAAUCCACCGUCAACCCGCAGGUUGAUUUUUCUAUUCAUCAUGGUCCACUAGCCGAAAGUUCACAAACAAUCUCAUCAAUCUCAGCCCUAUCAUUGGAUUUGCAGUUGAUUCUUGUCAUCGUGCUUUAGGGUGAGCAUGGUUCUAGAAUAAAACCAAGAACUUGAGAAUUGGAUUGGUAAAAACUUGUAGGUUCCAAGUUCUAAGAUAUGUGGGGUAGGUUUCAGGUUUCAAAAAAUUAAAAACCUGUUGAUGGGUAGGUUUCAUGUUCUUAGUUGGAGAAACGUGGAACAUGUCACCUGUAACUUGAAAUAUGGAAUAAGUUUUAAUGUUUUUCUUUAUCCAUGUCUUCGUACAAUCCUUUGAUAUGCCAUGUCGUUCGAUGAUAAGUGUACAAUUUGGAAGCACUAAUUCAACUUUUUAUUUCAUGACUAAGAUUUUUCCUUUAUUAAUAUUCAUAUUUUUCGUGUCUAUAAAUAUAAGUUAUAGUUAGUGAAUUGUAAUCGCUCAAAUAAUAAUAUAAGUGGAAUUGUGAUAGGCCUUGGAACUGAUUCUACAACUUAUGACAGGGUAGAUUUUAGAUUCUAGGGUAUGUAGGAGAGAUUUCGAGUUCUGAGAAACCUAUUUCAACGCGUAGGUUUCAGGUUUUAGGUGAAUUGCAUUGAUUUCUCCUAAAGAUUUCAUUUCAAUUGGAAUUUGGUUAUUCACCAUGUACGAGGAUCCUCGCUAAGCAUCCAUGGUUGAAUGGUUAAAGCGCCCAACUCAUAAUUGGCGAAUUCGUAGGUUCAAUUCCUACUGGAUGCACGCCAAUGGGACCCUACAAUAAGUCUAUUGGAAUUGGCUCUCGACCAUAUUUCGAUUGUUAAUACGAUAUAGAAGGACCGCUACUACAAAUAGUACUACACCCUUGAUCAUGAAAUAUCGAUUGCUUGUUGAACCCUGUGAAUUGCGUGAAAGUAGGAUACUCCAAAUUCGGGGGUCCAAGAGUUUUAUAAAACGUUCUUGGUGGAAAAAAAUGUGAAUGAAAGAUCCCACGGAAACCUAUUUCAACGCGUAGGUUUCAGGUUUUAGGUGGAACCUGUACGGAAUCUGAAAUUGCUCACCCCUACCUUGCUUUCACUUUAUUGCUAAACUUCCUUACCCUUUUGCUUCCCUAUCAACAACAAUGCUUCACCUUUGGUGCCUUUUAAAUUGGUAUACCAAGAAUAAUUUGACUGAAAACUCUGCCUUGAUGACAAUCAAACUGCUAGAAAUUGGAAGAAUCUGAUUUUGGAUUGACAGUUCUCAGAGGCAAUGCUAGAAAAAGUUUGAGAGAUCAUUCUAGCAACUUUUUCUUCCAAAUGAGAGUAUACAGACUUAAGACCUAUCCUUGCUUAUCCAAGCUUCUUAACAAGAUUUCAUUUAUCAUGCCUCGAUUCAUCCACAAUCCACAUAAGGUGCUACUGAACAUGGAUGUGCUGAGCCGUGAAGCAAUCUAGCUUAACUAUGUAGACAACUUAUGCCGCUCGGAAAAAGUAUCGUUGCGAUCGAACUAAACUGGUGUUGGAUGGUGUUGUGGCUAGAUGCUUAGACCCCUUGCCUCAUCAAGGUGCCCGAUCUUGCCUAACUUUUGGAGUCAGCCCCUAUGAAUCAUUUAGUUACUUUAUGUGUUUGGGAUUGAAAGUGGUGGACAAUUGGCUAGCACUGGGCCCAAACUUUUGGAGUCAGCCCCACCAUGAAUCAUUCAGUUACUUUAUGUGUUUGGGAUUGAAAGAUAGUGAACAAUUGGUUGGCACUGGGCAUUUCGACGAAGGUUCAAAGUGGGAGGUUGCAUUUUCCAAUAAUAUAAGAUAUGCCAUACUACAAUCCAUUAGUUAAUUCUCACGUGUCCAAGUGGGGUUCACUUUUCACAUUUUUCAAAUGCUUUUAUUAUCACGAUUGAGCCAACAUGGGAACAACGAUAUCGGAGCAAGUGAUUGACUGAUGUUAUUAUUAAGAUCAUAAUGUGAUUCUAAAGAUUAUCGAUGAUGAUGAGGAUCCAAUCCUUGGAGUGUUGGUUGAACCGCCGGGAGCCCCUUGAUCCAUCCUCUGCUCCCUCCACCGUGGUCAAGCCCACAGCUUUGACUCCCGCGGCCUCCUUAUGGAGCCCAAGGUCCCUUGCUUCCUUCACCCCUCUCCCAAAAUUCCUCCGCAUUCCCGAUGCCUAUGAUGACUCCUCCCACCUCCAAAUUAUCCUCGACCUUUGCGACUCCCCCAACCUCCACCGCACCCUCGUGUUUGCUGGCCCCCUCAGAGAUCUCAACAUCGCCCGCUCUUCCUAUUUGAUUAUAGAGUUUGGGCUCGUUUGGUUCGGUUUUGGGGAAGUGCCAUCGGGAGAAUACAAAUAGGUAAAGGGUUUUUCGAAAUGCUAGACAGUUUGGUAAAUUAUAACUGAAAAGUGUUUUAGGGAAAUGCAAGACUGUUUGGUAAAUAUAUAUUUGAAAAGCCCUUUAGUGUGACUAAAUUAAGUUUUAUAGUAUGAGUAUUUUUAAAAUUGCAAAAAAAAAAAAAUGACUAUAUAACAUUUUUACAUUUUCAUGUUGAAAGUAAUGUAAAAGAUAUAUAUUAGUAAAUUUAUUUAAAAAUUAUAUUAAAAGAAUUUGAUUAUAGAUUAUAUGCAAAGUUUAACUUUUGGCCUAGGUUCUUUUAGAUUUGUUUUUAACUUUGAAUAAUUUUAUUUAUUUAUUGUAAUAUUAAUCAUCUUUGUUAAUUAAUGAGCAACAUUGAUAAAAAGUUGGGCUAUUGAUUGUCAAAAAAUAAAAAUGACAAAAAAAAAGGUGAACCCAACAUUUGCAAAGGGUUUUUAUUAUUUUUAAAAAAAUAAAAAUAAAAUCCGAUGAAACUCCGUCGCCGAUCAACGGUGGUUGGGGUGUGGGGAAGAUGAUCGCUUUAAAAAAAAAGAAAAAUAAGUCAACGGAGGAAUAGUAGAGGUAGACUUGCAUUUUCGAAAUGCUGAAAGCUCCACCUGCUUUGGGCUUUUAGCAUUUUAAAGUCCAACAUUUGGCUAAUGACACCUUCAAAUGCUGAAUUAAACACCUAAAUUUUUUCCUAAGGGGCUUUCGGGCUAAAAGCCCUUUUUGGAAUGCUGAACCAAACGGGGUGUCUAUCCUGGACUAGCCAAUUUCCUUUUUUAUUUUCGAUUUUAUUUGGUAUUUCUUGAGAAUGUUGCUUGUGACAUCAAUUCUUCGAAUUACACAACGUAAAUGCCUCCAAAAAAAAACAUCUUGUAUAUGCUGGAAUUGGAAAAAUGUAGCUUGAGCAUCCUUGAUCCUUUUUGUAAGGCCAAGCGACCAAUCUACAAGAGGCUUGUGAGAUUUGAAUGGUUGAUUCGUGUUGAGGAAAUGUGAAGAAGUGGACGAAGCAAAACAAAGAGUGAGAGAGAGAAAUUAGAGGUGGUGGCUGUAGCGGUAACAACAAAAAUACAAAAUGCAAGGUAAAAUUGAAAGGAGAGAAUGAAGAUCUUUCGGUCUGAUUUUGCAUCCGAAAUCGAAUCAAAUAUUUAUAAUGAAAAAUGGAAGGUGUUUAAAACAUGUUGAUGAUAGUGUCUUUUUUUCUUCAAUAUUAACAUAAUAAAUAUGGAUGAAAAAAUAAUAUAAAAUAAAGUAAUUGAGGAUGGUAAAUUGUCGUUUUGAUUACUUUGAGUUAUGGACUGAAAUUAUUGUUGAAUAAGUUAUUUUAAUAUAAAUUAAAUUUAGAAAAACAUCCCAGAUAUUUAUGGCAUAUGAUAAAGACGUACUUCGGCAAAACAUCCCGAUUUCUCCUUCUCUUCUUAUUCCGGCGACGUCGGCGAUCACCCGUGCAGAAAACGCAACCCAUGGAUCCAACCGAAAGGCGCUCAUACUCCGACCUUCCUCCGGAUGUGCUCUCCGUGAUCGGCAAUCGUCUCGACACCCGCAUGGAAGUCCUCGGGUUCCGUAGCGUCUGCUCUUCCUUCCGCUCCGCGAUCCCCGCGCCCCCCCGCCGCGAGGCCUCGCGAUUCCCUCUCCAAAUCGAGCCCGGCCUCUUCCUCCGGGAGAGCACGGUCUACGCCCUCGAGACGCCAAACGGAGCCGCCGGCUCCGGCCGCACGCGGUGGCUACUGAUGCUCGAGGAGUCGUCGGAGCCCGGGCGUAUGCGGAUCCGCAGCCUCUACUCGCAGCGGAGGAUUAUGCACAUGCUCCCCAACUUCCCGAAGGUACUCGAUUCUCGCCAAUCCCGAAUGGUUGAAAUCUGUAGACAAUACACGCUCGAUGGUACAACCAGAGACCCCUCUGAAGGUGUACAGAAAGCAGUGAUGCAUCCGGAUGGCGUAGGUUCCGAUUUAGAUCAAUGUUCGGUUUAUUUCAUUGAAGGUGGGGAAUUAGGUUGUUGGAAAUACAGGGAUGAGAAUUGGAGCAAUUUAGAGGUUGAUGGUAGCGACAUCGACGAGUAUGAUGACAUCGUAGUGUAUGAUGGCAAAGUCUGGGUCGUUGAUUCCGUCGGGCAAAUCGGGCAGAUUUUGCAGCUUCAUACAUCUUUCAGACUUCAAAGUUUCUCACUGCCGAUCUACGACAUUGGUCGCCGCUUCGACUGCUUUUACUGCUUUUCCUGCUUUUCGAGGCAUUUGGUGGUAUCAGGCGGUGAUCUUUACAUAGUGUGCAGAUACACUAGCGAUGGUACAUGUAGCCGUGGCUCGCCGGAAAAGACAAGUCAUUAUGAAGUCUUUAGAUUGGAUCAGCGACAUGCGAGAUGGGACGAGGUGAGGAGCUUGGGCGAUUCCGCUUUCUUUCUCUGCAACCGCCGCUGCUCGUUUGCCGUCCCGGCAAGUGAGCUCGAUGGGCAUGGAGAGGGGAAUUGCAUCUACCGCGCAGAAAGAAAUUGCAACAACUUUGAGGUGUUCAACUUGGUGAAUCGUAGCCUCGAGUGGCCGGCCUAUUCUGACUUCCGUGUUGGUUUAUUGCUACGUGCUACGGGGAUGAGAUUUGGCAUGUAAAAGGCCGCAAGGCUAGUAUUGAGGUUGAAAACUGAUGAACAAUGCACCUGGACUUUUAGCAGAAGUUUCUAACAUUAUUUAUAUGAUGCAGAUGCUUUCUCCUCUCUUCCAACAGUUAGGUUGUACCUGCAGCAGGACUGCAGGAGCAACAACGAAGCCCACCCUGUAAGGACUGGCAGAUUGGAAGAGAGGAAUAAGGGCAGGACUUACCCGAACAGCAGUGAUGCCGAUGGUGGACCCGACGCAUUUCCCAGCCCAGAUCUGGCACAGAGACUCGAUUUAACCGGAGGGAAGAAUAGAAGAUUCUUCGGUGCUUUGCAACGCUGUUGUUGCCUGCGUCUGCAGAGAUUCAUUUGGCAGGAUAAGGGAUGGGUUUGCUAAAAACAUUGAGGUGAGUUCAGCGGAAAACAUUGAGUUGAGUUCAACAAAACAGGCGGAGGCUGUAACUUUGGUUGAAACUCUAGACUUCAUCUCUUCUAAGCUUUCCCUGAAUAGUAUGGAAAAAGAAUUCCUACUUCAGUCUGAUUAUUGUAUGCUGGUGGAGAGUGUUCUCUCUUUAGCUCCUUUAAGUUGGGCAGUGCAACCUCUAGUGGACAAGGUUAAGCAUAAAAUGGCGAAUAUUUCGGGAUUACUUUAGCCCACUGUAAUCGCGCCACCAACAAAGUGGCCGAUUAGUUAGCCAAAGCCCAUCGUAUGCGUUGUUUCCCUAGGAACUAGAUUGUUAAUCCCCCCUCUGCUCUUUUGGAUUUACUUUGUACUGAUGUUCAUGCUGUAUUUGUUCGGGAUCUCAGUUAGUAAUGAAAUGCAGCUUAUUAGUCCCAAAAAAAAAAAAGCAGCCAAGAUAAGAACCCCAUUGACGUGUUAGAGCAUCAUACUUGUGCUAACUUAAACCACAGGACAAUUGAUUAUCCUUGUUUUUAUCGUCCUGUUCUAUAUAUAUACUAACUGCUAAGGCUUCUAGUGCGCUCAAUUUAGUAUUUAUUUACACUAUGGAACACGGAUUGAAACAACUCAUGUUACAAAAAAAACAAAAAAUACCCUUCAUAACCCAUAAACCCCUUAAUGCCAUGAACUCCUUAAUGCAUUGAACUAAAAGAGAAAUUAUUAUAUGGUCUAUAAACGAUAUAGAUGAACAUUACAAGAUCAAUCGUCCUGAUGAACUUGGUCUACAUGGUUUAUAUGUCAUGCAAUGAUUUUUUCUCAGAUUUAAGAAUGUGUUAAUUUCCAUUGCCAUUACCAACCAGAACCUCUUAAACAGAAACGACCAUCUUGAUAUCCUUUGCUUUUCGGGUGAAAGUUACCAAGAAAACAACACAAGAAGAAAAACUGAAGCUCUAAAAACAUACUGCUGCAGUGAUUCUGGACACGGACAUAAACAACAAAUGAAGUUUUAUUUGCGAAAAAAGGUACCUAGAUCAUAUACCGGUGAUCUCUACAGAUAUCAAAACCAGUAACUACAAGCAUUCAAUUAAGAAAUUCUACAUACAAAGAAAAAUUGAAGGUACUAUUAGCCAAAAGGAACUCAAAUGCUUAGAACUCACUCCCUAGAGAAGGCCAUUUACAGGUGACGUGCUGAAAACUGGCUUGUCUUUGCUAGCUUCAUACAUUGCGGCACCAUUGCUACUGCUCUUCCUCCGAGGCUUCGCCUCUCCGAGCAUGGUUAUGACAUCCCUCAUGGAGGGCCUAUAUCUCAGUAGCUUUGCUGUACAGAGGAGCACUAUUAUGAGCACCAAAAAGCAUUUCUUCCUAAACAUGCUUGCAACAUUGGGGGUCUAGAGCUUCUUCCAGAGCUUCGUUGUCCCUAGUUUUCCUCCGUAUCCACUCGACAAUGUCGACAGAUUCUCCGAACUUGGGGUAUAGAGGCCUUUUGCCUGCGAUGAGCUCCAACAGUACGACACCGAAGCUGUAUAUGUCUAUCUUUUUGUCGACCUUCAUGGUGUAUCCGUACUCUGUCGACGAACAUAAAAAAAAUUGCAGCAUUCUUAGCUAAGGAAAGGUGAUGAGCAUAUGUGAUACUUUCGUCACUUUUUAGCAUUGACUAGUAGCUAUUUUGCAAGGGUAAUAAGGUUAUUAACUGGGACACUGGAAAGAUCUAAUAGUUGAUCAAUUUGAUGAAAGGUUAUGAGAGUAUUAAUCAACUUACCAGGCACAAUGUAUCCAUAGGACCCUGCCACUAUCGAUACUGUUUCGUUCUUCCAGAGCAUCAUUCUUGCCAAGCCAAAAUCAGCAAUUCUGGCUUCUAGGUUCGCAUCGAGCAAAAUGUUGGUCGACUUGACAUCUCGAUAAAUGAUCGGGGGAUGGCAAUCAUGGUGGAGAUAAGCAAGCCCUUGGACAACACCAAGCGGUAUAAACAAUCCUAAUACCAGCUUCUCAAUCUCUUGCUUCAGACAAGGAGUGACCAAUUUAGGCUCAGAAGCCUCUAAUCUCUUAGGAGGACUAUAUGCAAACAAUCUCAAAAGAUAUCGCCAUUUCACUUUCUUCUUAUCUUCACUAACUAUCUUAAUAACACAGCAAGUCAGCAACAAGUAAUAUCUAAUACAAAUGUAUCUAUGAAUUAAACAUUAACUUGGCACCGACUCUACUAAGUAGAAUAAAAUAAAAUAAAAACAAACCUUUGGAUGUACGGGAGUUGCCAAUGGGAUGCCUAUCGGUGGGGCUUGGGAAGGCGACGGCCGAAGGCUACGGCCUUGGCGGCGUUCAGGAGCAGGGGGCGCUUCGCGGAAGAAAGAGAGAGAGCGGGCAGAGCGACCUUCGCUCGCAGAGAGGGAGGCCAAAACGCGAGCAAGGGUUCGUUGGUGUCGGGGUUGGCCAGUAAGGGCGCUCCGCAGAGGAAAGAGGGAGAGAGUGGAGCGGAGGUCAUGAGAGGGAGGCGAAGGGGCGUCGGUGUCGACGUUGGCGUCGAGCGCGUAGGCGGAGGCGGAGGCGUCAGCAUCGGAGUUGGGGGCGAUGGACUCCGACGCCAACGGAGGCAACCGGCGGAGGGGUGUUGGUGUUGGGUUUGUUGGAAGAGAGACGUGACUUCGAGGACGAAGAGAGAGAGAGAGAGAGAGAGAGAGAGAGAGAGAGAGAGAGAGGACUAGAGUCGCGAGAGGGAGGAGGAGGGGCGUCGGCGUCAGAGUCGGGUUUAGGGGAGGAGGCGGCGUCGGCGUCGGAGUUGAGGGUGACGAAGGCACCCGGCGGAGACGGAGGUGGAGGGCUGUCAGCGUCGCGUUUCACUGGAAGAGAGGCACGACUUCGCGGAGGGGGGAGAGAGAGAGAGAGCAGAGCGGACAUUGCGAGAGGGAGGCGGAGGAGCGUUGGUGGCGUCGGCAUCAGGUGGGGGGCAAUUGAAGCAACCAGCGGAGCCGGAGGGGCUCAAUCUUUAUGUUUUCCUCUUAACCCUCCAAAAUUUUUCUCCCCGCAACGGAGAACGGUGAGAGAGACAGAGAGGAGAGAGAGGAGAGAGACGAUUUGCAUAGGAGAUCCGAGGAGAGAGCAUUAGAGCAAAGCGUGUACAGAGAGGUGGCCCUGAGGUGGGCCAGGGCCAAGUCCUCCUGCGCGUUGGUUUGAAGAGGAAGUGGAGAAGUGGGCCGACGUGAACCUGACACGGACAGGUGUUACGAUCUAAAUAGUUCAUAGUAAAAAUUAUGUGGCACUUUUAGGGUAUGUAAUAUUUUCUCUCUUUUAAAUGCACUUACAUUUGUAGUCUUUGGAAUGCAGUUCUCAUUCCAGAAUCUAGAUAUAAAUAUGAUUAAAUUAUUUCCAAAGAAAAAAAUGUUACUAUACUCUAGAAUGAAUGUGAAAAAUACAAUUUAUAUCUAGGGAAAUGAUACUCAUAGUCCCUAAAUUUGUCUUGCAUGCAAUGUCAAAUUUAAAAAGUCUAAUUCAUUUAAUGUGGUUGUUGAACUAUUCCUUGAUGUUUAGUAUAGUAAUUUGGGCAACCGACACUAUGUUAUUCAUCAAGCUAUUUUGCAUCUCAUGAAUAACUCUUGAGUUGAUUUUGUAUGAUUUGCGGAAUUCCAUAUGACUAUCCUUGGUCACUCUUCCUGUCAUUUACAAGCAUAUCUUGAGUUUUCAUUUUGGUUCUUUGUUCUUUUGUAUAGUAUGUUUUGCUGCUGUUACCUUAAUUUGCAAGUUAUGGUGGGGAUUCAAUACCAUGAACUUUCUUCUUUAAAGUUUUCGAUAUACAAUUUGCUUAGGGAGACAUGACAGUGGACUAUAUCUCUAGUAUGUAUCCUAAUUAAGCAGUUAACUUCUCUGCUGCCUUCUUAUCGUUACAAGCUGAAAGCUCGUUAUCUAAUUGUCAAAGAUAAAGCAUAAGGAAUCAUAAGCCAUGGCA
rnacentral:lncRNA from 1 species